rnacentral:rRNA from 1 species
CCUACGGGAGGCAGCAGUGGGGAAUAUUGGGCAAUGGGCGCAAGCCUGACCCAGCAACGCCGCGUGAAGGAAGAAGGCCUUCGGGUUGUAAACUGCUUUUAUAAGCGAGAAAUAUGAUGGUAACUUAUGAAUAAGGAUCGGCUAACUACGUGCCAGCAGCCGCGGUCAUACGUAGGAUCCGAGCAUUAUCCGGAGUGACUGGGUGUAAAGAGUUGCGUAGGUGGCAUAAUAAGUAGCUAGUGAAAUCUGGUGGCUCAACCAUUCAGACUAUUAGCUAAACUGUUAAGCUCGAGACCGUUAGGGGUAACUGGAAUUUCUAGUGUAGGAGUGAAAUCCGUAGAUAUUAGAAGGAACACCAAUAGCGUAGGCAGGUUGCUGGGACGGUUCUGACACUAAGGCACGAAAGCGUAGGGAGCAAACGGGAUUAGAUACCCUGGUAGUC